GGCAGAGCCCAGCAAUAUGCGGCCUGUAAUCUGUCAGAUGAUACAGCAACAGGCCCAGUGAGGGGCCCGACACACCCCCCAGGAGAGUGGAGUCUCUCACUGCAUGUGACGUGGAAGACGCCGAAGAGGUGAGGGAGGCACCAUAUGCUGCGGGCCUGCCAAGGGAGAAUAAACAGCACCGGCAGCCUGGCACAGAGCUCUGGCGGGAACGUCCACCAAGAUCGGUCAGGCACUCUCAUGGCGUCCUCCUGGAUACAGGCUUUUGCUUUUGUUUUUAAUUUUGGAGCAGUGAAGCCGAAAGUGAGGAGUGAGGACAAGGAGAAGACCCAUUUGCUCCUGUUCAUUCAAACAGCAUCUCUUCAUUUUGAAAUUGGCAAGAGGCAGUUCGGGGCUGUGGCAGGUCCUGUACACCACCUGUUGCCUCCCAAGUCACUGUGCCUUUCUGGCUUUCUUUACCUAUGUCCUGUAAAACGCCAGAUGAGGACAUAGAAAGAUGAACUUAAAGCUGAAAAGUGAACUUAAAGCUGGAAAAAAUGAAGCAAUCUCAGCUAUGAUAGCUGUAAUAGAAAAAUGGAGUUUUCCUCAGUUUUUCUUCCUCAGAAUAAAUGGGAUGAUCCUGAUGGCUGUUUAAGUGGAGAGGAUUUGUUUGCAAGAACUCUACAUCUUCAACAUUUUGUAGAGCAUUCCCUGCGAUGUGGAAAAUUCUGCUGGGCUAUUCCCUGAGGACACCUCUACCUUUCGUGUCCAGAAUUGGUGGGUUCUUGGUCUCACUGACUUCAAGAAUGAAGCCGCGGACCCUCGCAGUGAGUGUUACAGUUCUUAAAGGCGGUGUGUCCGGAGUUUGCUCCUUCUGAUGUUCAGAUGUGUUCGGAGUUUCUUCCUUCUGGUGGGUUCGUGGUCUCGCUGGCUCAGGAGUGAAGCUGCAGACCUUCGCAGUGAGUGUUACAGCUCUUAAGGUGGUGCGUCUGGAGUUGUUCCUUCCUCUCGGUGGGUUCGUGGUCUCGCUGGCUUCAGGAGUGAAGCUGCAGACCUUUGCGGUGAGUGUUACAGCUCAUAAAGGCAGUGUGGACCCAAAGAGUGAGCAGCAGCAAGAUUUAUUGCAAAGAGCAAAAGAACAAAGCUUCCACAGUGUGGAAGGUGACCCGAGCGGGUUGCCACUGCCGGCUUGCAGCCUGCUUUUAUUCCCUUAUCUGGCCCCACCCACAUCCUGCUGAUUGGUCCAUUUUACAGAGAGCCAAUUGGUCUGUUUUACAGAGAGCUGAUUGGUCCGUUUUGACAGAGUGCUGACUACCUCUUGAGAGUUUUCCAGGCUUCCUAAGGCUUUGGAGCUUUCCUGAGUCAGGGCCUUUGCACAUGCUAUGUCUUUUGCCAGAGAGGCUGAUUGCUCAGCAUUAUGCAUGCCUGGUUCCUUCCCAUCAUGUAGGUCUUCUGGUCAAGUACCCCCUCUUCAGAGAACGUUUCUCCCCCACCCUUCCCCUCCAGUGCGCACUGCCAAACCCUGCUCGAAACCACCCUGU